UACACGUACUUUUUUUAAGGAUCCAAAUACUUUUUUACGAAUUACGCACUACCAAAAUUCGGUUUCCAUUGGUCAUCCGAUGCUCAUAUUGCCGCUAUAUUUUAUCAUAAAUUUAAGCGAUUGAUCAAUUACUUUCCUUUUUUCCUACGCUCUUUAUGUUGGCGUUUCCUUAAAAAAUUUGAAAAAGAUAUUAACCACUUUGACUCUUCGCUUUACGACUGCGGAGGCCAAUACCAAUUUCUACCUUUUUUUAUACUAAAUGAGAUGAAAAGCACGUGGUUGCUCUAUUUAAGCGUUCUGGGAUUGGUGCUAUCGCUCAUUAAAAUAUUCUGGGAUUGGUGGUUUCUUUUUUCUAACAAGAAGAGAGCACCGUUACAAGCACAUAAAAAAGUCUUCGAUCCGGCGCUUCCGUUUCUUGUGUCGCAAAGUGCCGCCUUCAUAAUGUUGGGGCUGUUUAUUAUGCGCAUGCUUCCAUUUUUUACGCCAAGCCUCGCUUUUUUGGCGGGUUAUUUGUUUACUCACCACGUGGACUUUCUUCUUCCCUUCGCGCUGCAUAAGCACAGUUUUUUAAAGGAAAAGCGUAUAACCUGUACGAUUUGUUUUGGAAACAACACUGACCAAUUACGUGAACGUAAAAAGGAGAGAAACACCAAUAAAAAUACAGAUACGCUGGCUCGUCAGCGCAGACCUAAUAAAUUUAGAAACAUUUUGUUAACCAAUAAAAACGAGCUACAACUAAAGCGUCCUAAUUUGAGCUCCUUUAUUGGUUCUUUAUCACCUUCCGCAAAUUAUUAUAAAUUUGCUUGAAUUUUAUUUAAUUUCUUUAAUAAAAUUUCUAACACGUGCCAGUUUUUUCCUAUGUUUUUUUUCCAAUAGACAAGCUUCCCGCCUUAUUCUUUAUUUUAUUGGUAAUUGGGAUAUUUGUUGUAUUGAAGCGUGCUUAUAAAGUUCUUUAUGUGAUUAAACUGAGCAACCACAACCAACGGCAUUUUAGUACCGAUGAUGAAAUGCUCCAAUUAAUGAAGUGGAUCAACGUUAAUGCAGACCAUCGAUUGGACUCUAUAACAGCAAAUCUUGUUGCAUCCUCGCAAAUUUUACUUCAUACAAAAGUUAAAAUAACUAUUCAUCCUCACGCGGAAAGUAGUGAAAUGCGUGCUCGCUACAGAAAUUAUUAUGCGAUUUACGCUAAAGUUUCUGACUACACAGUUUAUAAAGAGAUUAAAAAAUUGAACACAACGUAUUUAGUAAUUUCAAACUGCAAUGCGCACUGCACUUCAACUACAACUUUAUCGGAUGUAGUUAAGUUUAGCGAUCUAAAAAAGAAAUGGUCUGAAAAUUUGAAGCCUUUUUGCUUGCGAGUAUUAGAGGGAA